AGAACGCUUAAUAUUUGUCAGAUGUUUUUGAGUUGAUGAUUGUGGAAUAGAAAGGUUUUGUCACAAAACGAUUUGCACACAAAACGACUAAUCGAAAACACAUGGCAGUUUCCCACUCAUUACUCGCAAGAGACACAGCGAAAAUGUUGCACAAUUUCAGAAAAACAUUUUUUUCGAUGUUCUUCUAAAAAGUCACUAUUUACGUAAUGGUCUAUUUACAUGUAUUCAACCAUGUUUUCAAAUAAUUCCAAAGUUGGUUGCGGGACGUUCCAUCCCUUUUACCAUUUUAUUGAAAUGGCUUGAUAAAAACAGUAAUUAAAAAAUAUAUACAGGCAUAUUUCGAGUGUUUGCCUACUGCUUUUUUUUUAAAUGUCGGUUUUAAGUUUAUUAAAUUUUACAAAAAAACUGGAGCAAAGCGAUACUGUUAAUCAGAAAAAAAGCCCAAAUGGUUAGUUGAUAGAAAUUUAUUUUUUAACGUCAUUCCAUAA
ensembl:ncRNA C29F7.11 ncRNA